rnacentral:rRNA from 1 species
GACGAACGCUGGCGGCGUGCUUAACACAUGCAAGUCGAACGAGACGAUUGAAAGCUUGCUUUUAAAAGUCGAGUGGCAAACGGGUGAGUAACGCGUAGACAACCUGCCUUUGAGAUGGGGACAACAGUUCGAAAGGACUGCUAAUACCGAAUGUUGUAUAUUUUCCACAUGGAAGAUAUAUUAAAGAUGGCCUCUAUUUAUAAGCUAUCGCUCAAAGAUGGGUCUGCGUCUGAUUAGCUAGUUGGUGGGGUAACGGCCUCCCAAGGCGACGAUGCGUAGCCGGUCUGGGAAGAUGAACGGCCACAUUAGGACUGAGACACGGCCCAGACUCCUACGGGAGGCAGCAGUGGGGAAUCUUCCACAAUGGACGAAAGUCUGAUGGAGCAACGCCGCGUGAGUGAAGAAGGGUUUCGGCUCGUAAAGCUCUGUUGUCGGGGACGAAUGUGCAGUAUUUGAAUAAAGUACUGCAAUGACGGUACCUGACGAGGAAGCCACGGCUAACUACGUGCCAGCAGCCGCCGUAA